UACGGAGGGUGCAAGCGUUGUCCGGAAUCACUGGGCGUAAAGGGCGCGUAGGCGGCUCGAUAAGCGUGUGGUGAAAGCCUGGGGCUCAACCCCGGGUCGGCCAUGCGAACUGUCGAGCUGGAGCACUGUAGAGGCAGGCGGAAUUCCGGGUGUAGCGGUGGAAUGCGUAGAGAUCCGGAGGAACACCAGUGGCGAAGGCGGCUAACUGGUCCGGUACUGACGCUGAGGUGCGAAAGCGUGGGGAGCAAACAGG
rnacentral:rRNA from 1 species